CCUACGGGGGGCAGCAGUGGGGAAUAUUGGGCAAUGGGCGCAAGCCUGACCCAGCAACGCCGCGUGAAGGAAGAAGGCUUUCGGGUUGUAAACUUCUUUUAAGGGGGAAGAGCAGAAGACGGUACCCCUUGAAUAAGCCACGGCUAACUACGUGCCAGCAACCGCGGUAAUACGUAGGUGGCAAGCGUUGUCCGGAUUUACUGGGUGUAAAGGGCGUGCAGCCGGAGAGACAAGUCAGAUGUGAAAUCCACGGGCUCAACCCGUGAACUGCAUUUGAAACUGUUUCCCUUGAGUGUCGGAGAGGUAAUCGGAAUUCCUUGUGUAGCGGUGAAAUGCGUAGAUAUAAGGAAGAACACCAGUGGCGAAGGCGGAUUACUGGACGAUAACUGACGGUGAGGCGCGAAAGCGUGGGGAGCAAACAGGAUUAGAUACCCCUGUAGUC
rnacentral:rRNA from 1 species